rfam:Laetiporus sulphureus 93-53 unplaced genomic scaffold LAESTscaffold_68, whole genome shotgun sequence.
GGCCGGCUAGCUCAGUUGGUUAGAGCGUGGUGCUAAGAUUGCAACCUUCUGGUAACCCAACAUUGAAAGGUUUUGGUUUUGGUGAUGCUUGUAAGUGAGGCCAAGGUCGUCGGUUCGAUCCCGGCGUUGGCCA